rnacentral:lncRNA from 1 species
CCUUAGUAGACGAACGAACGUAUACAUGUGAAACACUGGAUGAAAACAGAAUCGUCAAUUUUUUUAAUAUUUCACUUGUUAUAAGUAGUAUGUAUUAUUUAUGAGUAUGCCUCCUGUUUUCAACAUGCCAAAAAAGGCAUUGAGACAAAUAUUUAAAAACAAAAUAGUUAUUUGAAUAACAAAAAAAAAAAAAACCCAAAACAACGAUAAUAAUUUACGCAUUAAACUUGACACAACUGGCUCUACAUCCAAACACCCUUUUUAAUCCAUGUUUUUCAAAACGAAUUUCAAAGGUAUUUUUAAACCAUAUACAUCGAAUCCAAGAUAAUUAAAAGUACGUUAUCCAGAGAAAAAUCAUUUGAUAUCUAGAUAAAGACAACAGUAGUAAACUGCUUUUCAAGAG